GUAGUCUCGCACAGAUGCAUAUCAAUAAGCGGAGGAAAAGAAACUAACAAGGAUUCCCCUAGUAACGGCGAGUGAAGCGGGAAGAGCUCAAAUUUGAAAUCUUAAAGGGUUUCCCCUUACGAAUUGUAGUUUAAAGAAGUGCUUUCUGUUGAGGUUUUGGUAAAAGUUCUUUGGAAUAGGACAUCAUAGAGGGCGAGAAUCCCGUAUUUGACCUUUACUUUCAACUUUGUGAUACACUUUCAAAGAGUCGGAUUGUUUGGGAAUGCAGUCCAAAAUGGGUGGUAAAUUUCAUCUAAAGCUAAAUAUUGGCGAGAGACCGAUAGCGAACAAGUACCGUGAGAGAAAGAUGAAAAGAACUUUGAAAAGAGAGUUAAACAGUACGUGAAAUUGUCAAAAGGGAAGCGUUUGACACCAGUGUUGUUUUUCUGAAAAUCAAUUAAAGAACUGUUUAUGCUAAGCUGUUUAGACUUUAUCAGCUAAUCUGUUUAGUUUUGAGCUUUUCUUUAAUGCACUUUUCAGUUAACAAGUCAACAUCAAUUUCUUUUGCUGUAAAAAAGCUUGAGGAAGGUGGCUUGAGAUUCGUCUUAAGUGUUUAUAGCCUCUUGCCUAUGCAGUCGGAGAGAUUGAGGUCCGCAGCGUAGAUCCUUCGGGGCUAAAUGCAUUUGUGCUAAGUUAUAGCAUUUUAUAGACAACUUGUUGACUAUGAUUUGUCUUGUAGCUUACUCGCUUAUGUUAUUUUACCUACGCUUAGGAUGUUGAAGACUCUACAGAGAU
rnacentral:rRNA from 1 species